rnacentral:lncRNA from 1 species
AGUAUCUUGUGGCUUUUUGAUCAUAACCACAACCUGAGGGUGACCGGAUGAUGAGUGUGGUUUUGACUUGCAUUUCCCUGAUCCUGGAGUGACUGCUCCCUGAAGAGAGUCCUGGUCCUAGGAAUCUGGGAUUCUACCUGAAGUCCCAAAGAUGAACAAAUGGUAGAGAGAGGCACCUGAGUGAGCCUGCUUCCUAAACGACUUCUCAGAACUGCCUGCAGCUGGGCUGCCUAACAGAAGCUCAAGUUCUGGGAUUCCACUCUUGAAGAAAAAUGAAUCUGCCCUUAACUUAGUGAGCCCUCAGCCUGUAGGUCAGGACAUGUAGUUCUUGCUACCCUGAAACUCACUAUGUACGACAGACUGGCCCCAACACACUGAGAUCUGCCUGGUUCUGUCUCCCUGGUGCUGAGAUCAAAUGCACGCGUAUACUUAGGGUACAGGACUUUUAUUUAUAUGUUAUGGCUCUGGGUUUGUUUUCAUGGGAUUCCUGAUUGUGCCAGCAAUUGGGUCUCUGUGUCUACAUCUGUUUCUUUUGCCUUUUCUUUGACUCCCUUUCUUUUGUUUGUUUCUUUUGCCCUAUUCUGAUGUGUUAGUUUUUGUUUUAUCUUAUUAUAUUUUAUUAUUAUUCAUCAAGUGCCCUUCUGUUUUCUAAAGAGAAACAGAAAGGUGGUGAAUUUGCAUGGGGUGGGAGGCAUAGAAGAACUGGGAGGAGUAAAGGGAGAAGAGAUCAUAAUCAGGAUAUAUUGUAUGAAAAAAACCAGACUAU